AACUUUUAACAACGGAUCACUUGGUUCUGGCAUCGAUGAAGAACGCAGCGAAAUGCGAUAAGUGAUGUGAAUUGCAGAAUUCAGUGAAUCAUCGAAUCUUUGAACGCACAUUGCGCUCCCUGGUAUUCCGGGGAGCAUGCCUGUUCGAGCGUCAUUACAACCCUCAAGCUCUGCUUGGUGUUGGGCCCCGCCGCCCCGGCGGGCCCUAAAGUCAGUGGCGGUGCCGUCCGGCUCCGAGCGUAGUAAUUUUUCUCGCUUUGGAGGCCCGGGCGCGUGCUCGCCAUCAACCCCCAAUUUUUUCAGGUUGACCUCGGAUCAGGUAGGGAUACCCGCUGAACUUAAGCAUAUCAAUAAGCGGAGGCU
rnacentral:misc_RNA from 1 species